CCUACGGGCGGCAGCAGUGGGGAAUUUUGGACAAUGGGAGCAACCCUGAUCCAGCCAUGCCGCGUGCGGGAAGAAGGCCUUCGGGUUGUAAACCGCUUUUGUCAGGGAAGAAAUCUUCCGAGCUAAUACCUUGGGAGGAUGACGGUACCUGAAGAAUAAGCACCGGCUAACUACGUGCCAGCAGCCGCGGUAAUACGUAGGGUGCAAGCGUUAAUCGGAAUUAGCGGGCGCGAAGCUGGCGGACGGGGUUGAAAUCCCCGGGCUUAACCUGGGAACUGCACUUGUGGCUGUACGGCUGGAGUACGGCAGAGGGGGAUGGAAUUCCGCGUGUAGCAGUGAAAUGCGUAGAUAUGCGGAGGAACACCGAUGGCGAAGGCAGUCCCCUGGGCCUGUACUGACGCUCAUGCACGAAAGCGUGGGGAGCAAACAGGAUUAGAUACCCGAGUAGUC
rnacentral:rRNA from 1 species